GGGAGCCGCACCAGCGGUGUGCGCAUGGGGUGAUUGUCAUGGUUACGCUCUGACAAAACAAAUGGCUCGCUUCCUGCAGGCCACCUAAACAGCCACUGCAAUGUGGGCUUGGAUCAAGCCGGCUGCCAGCCACGGGCGCUGGGCUUGGCACCGGAGCCCUGCCCUGGGUGCCCCCUCCAGCAGCUCUGGGCUCCGAGAGGCAGCAGCUGGGGCUGUGGACAACAGGGAGCAUUUACCCAGACACCUGUUGCUUCGGGGGUGAGAUGAUGAAACGGAGCCUUGGAGAGGUCCAAGAGCUUGGUUGGAGGUCACAUAGCAAAUGGCAGAGACAUUUCAGCAGGAAUGAAGUGAGGAGGGACAGAGGGCAAGCCGGGAGGAACGACACCAGACCAGGCUUCAGAGGCAGCUUGGGGGUGACCAUCAAGGAGGCUGGAUCUGACAUGCAGUUCAGACUUGACAGUCGAGGAGCAGAGAGCGCGGUGAUCAGGGGUCAAACUGCAGGACGCAGGGCAUCGGCCAAGCAGUUCCUUCCCUGGGUGCCCCUCUGGAGACAGAGAGAUGCAGUCAGGAUGGCAGGUGCGGGGGAUUCUCCCGCACAGACACAAAAGGAGCCUGGAG
ensembl:lncRNA